rnacentral:lncRNA from 1 species
CGAUUGCUCCCAGCCCCACUAGUCCUUCUAAAGAAGCAGCAGCCAGACUUCAGGAAAUGGUGAGGACAGUUGCAAGGCAACCCUGACUUGAGUUGGAGAGAACUGAGACAGGGCAAGGCAGAGAACGGUGCUUCUGCUUAUUCUCCAGAUGCUGCUGCUUGUCGGCCGGGCAGGGGGGGCCCUUUGUAGACAAGAGCUCUUUGUCAAGGUGAGCUUAGGGAGGACGCUCGCUCCACCACGGGGCAGGAUGGCACGGAGCUCAGCAGGGACUUCGCUGCACUGAGGAUGAGAUCUACCAGGAUUCCCAAGGCUGGGGAGACAGGUUAUCUUGGGAGGGAAACAACCGCCCCACUCCGCAGCACUGAUUUUAGACUUUCCUGGGCUUAGUGCAACUAUUACAGAUAGAAGAGGUUUCAAAGCUGCAGAGCAAGUCAGGACUGGCCAAACUAUGUGGCUCUGUGUCCCUGUGCUUUCCUCCCCCCUCCCCUUCUGCUUGGCUUGAUUGCCUCCACCCGGGGGGAGCUAAGCAGGCUGCUGAGCCAGGGGAGGCUGUAGCUGGAGAGGGCCCCCAAGCAGCAAGCCCCUGGGAGUUUUGCUGGCUCCUUCUCUGCUUCCCCUGGCUCGCUCUGCAGCAGGAGACACGGGGGAAACUUUCAAGAGGGCCACAGGAUGCAGGGCCCUGAGGCAGGAGUGGCCUCAGGUGGGCAAUACAGGGCGGAGGUUCAGGUCUCUAGGGAGUGGUCUUGAGAACUUGGAUAGAUACACAUCCGUCAGGCUCCUACCACUCCACAGACUGGCGCGUUCUCA